rnacentral:rRNA from 1 species
UGGGCGCAAGCCUGAUCCAGCCAUGCCGCGUGAGUGAAGAAGGCCUUCGGGUUGUAAAGCUCUUUCGCAAGGAAAGAAAACUUAUCUAUUAAUACUAGGUGAGGUUGACGGUACCUUGAUAAGAAGCACCGGCUAACUACGUGCCAGCAGCCGCGGUAAUAC